CCUACGGGAGGCAGCAGUGGGGGAUAUUGCACAAUGGCGGGAACCCUGAUGCAGCGACGCCGCGUGGGGGAAGAAGCGCCUCGGCGCGUAAAGCCCUGUCAGCAGGGAAGAAAAUGACGGUACCUGAAGCAGAAGCCCCGGCUAACUACGUGCCAGCAGCCGCGGUAAUUCGUAGGGGCCAAGCGUUAGCGGGAUUUCCUGGGUGUAAAGGGGGCGCAGACGGGGAUGCAGGCCAGGAGUGAAAGCCCGGGUCCCAACCCGGGGACUGCGAUUGGAACUGCGUGGCUGGAGGGCAGGAGGGGUAGGAGGAAUGCGUGGUGUAGCGGUGAAAUGCGUAGAUAUCAGGCGGAACACCGGUGGCGAAGGCGGCCUACUGGACUGCAACUGACGUUGAGGCACGAAAGCGUGGGGAGCAAACAGGAUUAGAUACCCUGGUAGUC
rnacentral:rRNA from 1 species